rnacentral:rRNA from 1 species
GACGAACGCUGGCGGCGUGCUUAACACAUGCAAGUCGAACGAAAAGAGGGAAAGAGCUUGCUCUUUCCGGAAUUGAGUGGCAAACGGGUGAGUAACACGUAAACAACCUGCCUUCAGGAUGGGGACAACAGACGGAAACGACUGCUAAUACCGAAUAAGUUCCAAGGGCCGCAUGGCCCAUGGAAGAAAAGGUGGCCUCUACCUGUAAGCUAUCGCCUGAAGAGGGGUUUGCGUCUGAUUAGCUGGUUGGAGGGGUAACGGCCCACCAAGGCGACGAUCAGUAGCCGGUCUGAGAGGAUGAACGGCCACACUGGAACUGAGACACGGUCCAGACUCCUACGGGAGGCAGCAGUGGGGAAUCUUCCGCAAUGGGCGAAAGCCUGACGAAGCAACGCCGCGUGAGUGAUGACGGCCUUCGGGUUGUAAAACUCCGUGAUCCGGGACGAAAAGGCAGGGUGCGAAGAACAAACUGCAUUGACGGUACCGGAAAAGCAAGCCACGGCUAACUACGUGCCAGCAGCCGCGGUAAUACGUAGGUGGCAAGCGUUGUCCGGAAUUAUUGGGCGUAAAGCGCGCGCAGGCGGCUUCCCAAGUCCCUCUUAAAAGUGCGGGGCUUAACCCCGUGAUGGGAAGGAAACUGGGAAGCUGGAGUAUCGGAGAGGAAAGUGGAAUUCCUAGUGUAGCGGUGAAAUGCGUAGAGAUUAGGAAGAACACCGGUGGCGAAGGCGACUUUCUGGACGAAAACUGACGCUGAGGCGCGAAAGCGUGGGGAGCAAACAGG